rnacentral:rRNA from 1 species
UCAGGACGAACGCUGGCGGCGUGGUUNAGACAUGCAAGUCGAACGAGAAGCUCCCUUCGGGGAGUGGAGAGUGGCGCACGGGUGAGUAACACGUGAGCAACCUGCCGGGAAGCCCGGGAUAGCCCUCCGAAAGGAGGAUUAAUACCGGAUGUGGCCACCCUGCGAUUGCGGGGGAAGCUAAAGGAUUUAUUCACUUCCCGAGGGGCUCGCGGCCCAUCAGCUUGUUGGUGAGGGUAACGGCCCACCAAGGCGACAACGGGUAGCUGGUCUGAGAGGAUGGUCAGCCACACUGGAACUGAGACACGGUCCAGACACCUACGGGUGGCAGCAGUCGAGAAUCAUUCGCAAUGGGGGAAACCCUGACGAUGCGACGCCGCGUGGAGGAUGAAGGCCUUAGGGUUGUAAACUCCUGUCAAGAGGGAAUAAGCAAGUGAAGGUACCUCUAGAGGAAGGGGCGGCUAAUUCCGUGCCAGCAGCCGCGGUAACACGGAAGCCCCGAGCGUUGUUCGGAUUCAUUGGGCGUAAAGGGUGCGUAGGCGGCGCGGAAAGUCCGGCGUGAAAGGCAGGGGCUCAACCUCUGGACUGCGUUGGAUACUUCCGUGCUUGAGGACUGGAGGGGAGACUGGAAUUCACGGUGUAGCAGUGAAAUGCGUAGAUAUCGUGAGGAAGACCGGUGGCGAAGGCGAGUCUCUGGACAGAUCCUGACGCUGAGGCACGAAGGCUGGGGGAGCGAACAGGAUUAGAUACCCUGGUAGUCCCAGCAGUAAACGAUGUGAGCUUGAUGUGGGGGGAUUCGACCCCUUCCGUGUCGAAGCUAAACGCGAUAAGCUCACCGNCUGAGGAGCACGGCCGCAA